CGUUGACCUCGGAUCAGGUAGGAAUACCCGCUGAACUUAAGCAUAU
rnacentral:rRNA from 1 species